rnacentral:rRNA from 1 species
CCUACGGGUGGCAGCAGUGAGGAAUAUUGGUCAAUGGACGCAAGUCUGAACCAGCCAUGCCGCGUGCAGGAAGACGGCUCUAUGAGUUGUAAACUGCUUUUGUACGAGGGUAAACGCAGAUACGUGUAUCUGUUUGAAAGUAUCGUACGAAUAAGGAUCGGCUAACUCCGUACCAGCAGCCGCGGUAAUACGGAGGAUUCAAGCGUUAUCCGGAUUUAUUGGGUUUAAAGGGUGCGUAGGCGGUCGGAUAAGUUAGAGGUGAAAUCCCGAGGCGCAACUUCGGAAUUGCCGCUGAUACUGGUCGGCUAGAGAGUAGUUGCGGUAGGCGGAAUGUAUGGUGUAGCGGUGAAAUGCUUAGAGAGCAUACAGAACACCGAUUGCGAAGGCAGCAUACCAAGCUACUGCUGACGUUGAGGCACGAAAGCGUGGGGAGCAAACAGGAUUAGAUACCCGGGUAGUC